rnacentral:misc_RNA from 1 species
GUGAAUCAUCGAAUUUUUGAACGCACAUUGCGCUUUCUGGUAUUCCGGAAAGUAUGCCUGUUUGAGGGUCAGUAAAAUAAUAAUCGGUGUUGUUGCUGCCUUUCGUGGUUAAGCGCCGGAAUUGGGUCGUCUUACCUUCGGUUAAGUGACUUAAAAUUUUUGCAUGAUUUUCGUACGUAUUUAAAUUUCUUACGUACGUUUGAGAUAUCGAUUACUUUAUCAGGUUCGGUCAUCCUCAUGAUUCGCACUUAUAAUUUUUCAUGAUAUGAACUCA